rnacentral:sRNA from 1 species
CAAUGCACGCGUUGGAUCUGACACCUCUGCAUGGUACAUCUGUAUUUGACUAUAGAUAACAUAUCACUGAUCGAAUUUUAAAAAUUGAAUUCCCGUUAUUCAAUUUAUACUACUCAUGGUGGCUAUGAUGAGUAUGCAAUGUACAUUACCACAUAGAGGUGUCUGCCUAUUUAGUACUAUCUGACUGCCUAUUUAACUGCCUAUUAGUCAACCUACUCUGCGCUUGUCAAGUAGAUUGUCUUCUGUUUUUGGUAAAAUGGGAUCAAAACUGUCAACACAACAUAACAUGGAAAGAAAUAAAAAGGAGGCCUUCUGCAAACACUGCUAAACACAACAGCAGAUCUAACACAAGGACUUGAUAACAAGAGCUUCAAUAAACAAGCAUUCCUAGAGAUGAUAUCGUGUACCUUGUUGGACAUGGACCAAAUUUCAGCAAAAGAUGAGGAGAUAAUAGAGUC